CAACUCCACGUCAUCCUGAAACAAAUUUUCUCCCUUUUUUAAUUCUUAUUAUCCAUUUUAAACUAAACAUAAAAAGGCAAAUUAGUACUACUCAACUCCCCAUUUGAAGAUUCUUCCCUUUCAAUUCUAAUCCCGAUUUAGGUUUAAAAAUUGAUAGAUACAAAUAUCAAUUAGGGUUAGGGUUUCUUUCCCCAUUUUGAAUACAUGCAUAUAGGUAGUUUCUUUUUCCGUUUAGAGUGAAUUUGUUUGUUCCUGGAAGGGGCGAAAAAUGGAAGUAGUAGGGUUUGAGGAGGAGUAUGGAAUUAGAGUAGAUGAAGAAUAUGGAUUUGAGGCAAUGAGUGAGGUUACUAUUUCCUUCCAAGGCCAACUCUAUGUAUUCCCUGCUGUUACUCCCAAAAAGGUGCAAGCAGUACUGCUAUUAUUAGGAGGGUCUGAGAUGGCUAGUAGUUAUGUACCUAGCUCAGAUUCUCUUGCACUGCAAACUACGAAGAGUGUUGAUAAUGAUGCCUUCACCAGGCCAAACAUUUCUCGGAGAAUCGCAUCUCUGAUUAGAUUCCGUGAGAAGAGAAAAGAGAGAUGCUUUGAGAAAAAAAUUCGUUAUACUUGUCGGAAAGAAGUUGCACACAGGAUGCAUCGUAAAAAUGGACAAUUUGCCUCUUUAAAAGAGGGUGAAACGACGGCUGUUGACAAUAUUGAUUCAGGGGACAGCACUCCUCAUCCUGAACCUACACUGCGAAGAUGUCACCACUGUGGUACUAGUGAAAGUGAGACCCCUGCUAUGCGGCGGGGACCAUCAGGCCCUAGAACCCUCUGCAAUGCCUGUGGGCUUAUGUGGGCAAACAAGGGUAUGUUAAGAGAUAUUACAAAGGGAGGGAGAUGUGUACCCUUUGACAAAAGCGAGCCAGACACUCCUGAUAUCAAGCUGUCUACCGUUGCCCCUGAAAAUUCUUAUCUAAAGCAGCACCAAGAGGGAAGUUCAGGAGAGACAAAGACACUGCUUAUGGAGACUGAAAAUCCUUCAGUUACAACUGCUAAGCUGGAUAUGCAAGAAGCUGCAGAAAAUUUUCCUGAUAAUUCUCCUAUUGCAGGACAAUCUUGACGAACUUGCAAAUGCUUCUGGUACCGAGUUUGAGAUUCCUGCAAGCUUUGAUGAACAGAUUGGCGUUGAUUCACAUAUGGGUGCUGACUGGCCUGGGACAUGACAUACAUGGUUCCAAGUUGACGCAGAGCGUGAAUAUUCUAAACAAUACUACCUGUAAUCUUAAAAAAUUGUAAAGCAUCUGUCAAUAUAACCAAGAGCUCGCUUGUGUAUGAUAGGGGUAAGGAUUUAGGAGGUGCUAGCUAUUUGUAUAUACCUAUGUUAGAGAAUUUCUCGAAUUUAAUUUUUCUCCUAUCCUCUCUCUUAUUAUUGGUCCUAAGAAAAAUUAUACUUUAGAAGAGAAAAAAGGGGAAAGGAGGAGGAAGAAAUUGCUAACAAAAAGAGUUGCUUAGUUUUGGAUUAUUUUUACUAAUUUAGUAAUUUUCUUUUAUAA